CGUUGCCUGCACCUGCCGGCGACCGGCGCACGGGUGAGUAACACGUAUGGAACCUGCCCGCCACAGGGGGAUAACCCGGGGAAACCCGGCCUAAUACCCCAUGCCGCCCGGACCGGGCAUCCGGUCCGGGCGAAAGGAGGAAUCCGGUGGCGGCUGGGCAUGCGGCGCAUUAGCUUGACGGCGGGGUAACGGCCCACCGUGGCGACGAUGCGUAGGGGUUCUGAGAGGAAGGCCCCCCACACUGGAACUGAGACACGGUCCAGACUCCUACGGGAGGCAGCAG
rnacentral:rRNA from 1 species